UAACAAUCUUAAAAAGAGAGUCUUCCUCUGCCUGAUGUGGCAGAAGCUAAGGGAACCAGGUUUGCUAAAGUAGUUGUGGCAAUAGGAAUGUAUUAGCCUCAGAAGCUACUGAGGCAGCCCAUUCUAUCCUAGUACAGCA
rnacentral:snoRNA from 1 species